rnacentral:rRNA from 1 species
GACGAACGCUGGCGGCGUGCUUAACACAUGCAAGUCGAACGGAAAGGCCCUGCUUUUGUGGGGUGCUCGAGUGGCGAACGGGUGAGUAACACGUGAGUAACCUGCCCUUGACUUUGGGAUAACUUCAGGAAACUGGGGCUAAUACCGGAUAGGAGCUCCUGCUGCAUGGUGGGGGUUGGAAAGUUUCGGCGGUUGGGGAUGGACUCGCGGCUUAUCAGCUUGUUGGUGGGGUAGUGGCUUACCAAGGCUUUGACGGGUAGCCGGCCUGAGAGGGUGACCGGCCACAUUGGGACUGAGAUACGGCCCAGACUCCUACGGGAGGCAGCAGUGGGGAAUAUUGCACAAUGGGCGGAAGCCUGAUGCAGCAACGCCGCGUGCGGGAUGACGGCCUUCGGGUUGUAAACCGCUUUCGCCUGUGACGAAGCGUGAGUGACGGUAAUGGGUAAAGAAGCACCGGCUAACUACGUGCCAGCAGCCGCGGUGAUACGUAGGGUGCGAGCGUUGUCCGGAUUUAUUGGGCGUAAAGGGCUCGUAGGUGGUUGAUCGCGUCGGAAGUGUAAUCUUGGGGCUUAACCCUGAGCGUGCUUUCGAUACGGGUUGACUUGAGGAAGGUAGGGGAGAAUGGAAUUCCUGGUGGAGCGGUGGAAUGCGCAGAUAUCAGGAGGAACACCAGUGGCGAAGGCGGUUCUCUGGGCCUUUCCUGACGCUGAGGAGCGAAAGCGUGGGGAGCGAACAGGCUUAGAUACCCUGGUAGUCCACGCUGUAAACGGUGGGUACUAGGCGUGGGGUCCAUUCCACGGGUUCCGUGCCGUAGCUAACGCUUUAAGUACCCCGCCUGGGGAGUACGGCCGCAAGGCUAAAACUCAAAGGAAUUGACGGGGCCCCGCACAAGCGGCGGAGCAUGCGGAUUAAUUCGAUGCAACGCGUAGAACCUUACCUGGGUUUGACAUGGAUCGGGAGUGCUCAGAGAUGGGUGUGCCUCUUUUGGGGUCGGUUCACAGGUGGUGCAUGGCUGUCGUCAGCUCGUGUCGUGAGAUGUUGGGUUAAGUCCCGCAACGAGCGCAACCCUUGUUCACUGUUGCCAGCACGUUAUGGUGGGGACUCAGUGGAGACCGCCGGGGUCAACUCGGAGGAAGGUGGGGAUGACGUCAAGUCAUCAUGCCCCUUAUGUCCAGGGCUUCACGCAUGCUACAAUGGCUGGUACAGAGAGUGGCGAGCCUGUGAGGGUGAGCGAAUCUCGGAAAGCCGGUCUCAGUUCGGAUUGGGGUCUGCAACUCGACCUCAUGAAGUCGGAGUCGCUAGUAAUCGCAGAUCAGCAACGCUGCGGUGAAUACGUUCCCGGGGC